GACGUAGGGCGCGAGCGUUGUCCGGAUUUAUUGGGCGUAAAGAGCUCGUAGGCGGCUUGUCGCGUCGUUCGUGAAAACCCGGGGCUCAACUCCGGGCUUGCGGGCGAUACGGGCAGGCUAGAGUUCGGUAGGGGAGACUGGAAUUCCUGGUGUAGCGGUGAAAUGCGCAGAUAUCAGGAGGAACACCGGUGGCGAAGGCGGGUCUCUGGGACGGUACUGACGCUGAGACGCGAAAGCGUGGGGAGCGAACAGG
rnacentral:rRNA from 1 species